rnacentral:rRNA from 1 species
AACAGGAUUAGAUACCCUGGUAGUCCACGCCGUAAACGAUGAGUACUAGGUGUAGGAGGUAUCGACUCCUUCUGUGCCGCAGUUAACACAAUAAGUACUCCGCCUGGGAAGUACGGUCGCAAGAUUAAAACUCAAAGGAAUUGACGGGGGCCCGCACAAGCAGCGGAGCAUGUGGUUUAAUUCGAAGCAACGCGAAGAACCUUACCUAGACUUGACAUCUCCUGAAUAGCCGGUAACUCGGCGAAGCCUUUCGGGGCAGGAAGACAGGUGGUGCAUGGUUGUCGUCAGCUCGUGUCGUGAGAUGUUGGGUUAAGUCCCGCAACGAGCGCAACCCUUAUUAUUAGUUGCUACCAUUUAGUUGAGCACUCUAAUGAGACUGCCGUGGUUAACGCGGAGGAAGGUGGGGAUGACGUCAAAUCAUCAUGCCCCUUAUGUCUAGGGCUACACACGUGCUACAAUGGUGAGUACAAAGAGACGCAAUAUCGUGAGGUGGAGCAAAACUCAAAAACUCAUCCCAGUUCGGAUUGUAGGCUGAAACUCGCCUACAUGAAGCCGGAGUUGCUAGUAAUCGCGAAUCAGCAUGUCGCGGUGAAUACGUUCCCGGGCCUUGUACACACCGCCCGUCACACCAUGAGAGUCUGCAACACCCGAAGUCCGUGAGGUAACCCGUAAGGGAGCCAGCGGCCGAAGGUGGGGCCGAUGAUUGGGGUGAAGUCGUAACAAGGUAACC